AUUGAACGCUGGCGGCAGGCUUAACACAUGCAAGUCGAGCGGAGAUGAGGUACUUGCACCUUAUCUUAGCGGCGGACGGGUGAGUAAUGCUUAGGAAUCUGCCUAUUAGUGGGGGACAACAUUCCGAAAGGAAUGCUAAUACCGCAUACGCCCUACGGGGGAAAGCAGGGGAUCUUCGGACCUUGCGCUAAUAGAUGAGCCUAAGUCGGAUUAGCUAGUUGGUGGGGUAAAGGCCUACCAAGGCGACGAUCUGUAGCGGGGCUGGGAGGAUGAUCCGCCACACUGGGACUGGGACACGGCCCAGACUCCUACGGGAGGCAGCAGUGGGGAAUAUUGGACAAUGGGCGGAAGCCUGAUCUAGCCAUGCCGCGUGUGUGAAGAAGGCCUUUUGGUUGUAAAGCACUUUAAGCGAGGAGGAGGCUACCUGGAUUAAUACUCUAGGAUAGUGGACGUUACUCGCAGAAUAAGCACCGGCUAACUCUGUGCCAGCCGCCGCCGUAAAAC
rnacentral:rRNA from 1 species